rnacentral:rRNA from 1 species
GUACACGCUGUGACUAGCAUAUCAAUAAGCGGAGGAAAAGAAACUAACAAGGAUUCCCCUAGUAACGGCGAGUGAAGCGGGAAGAGCUCAAAUUUGAAAUCUUAAAGGGUUUCCCUUUACGAAUUGUAGUUUAAAGAAGUGUUUUUCUGUUGAGGUUUUGGUAAAAGUUCUUUGGAAUAGGACAUCAUAGAGGGUGAGAAUCCCGUAUUUGACCUUUACUUUCAACUUUGUGAUACACUUUCAAAGAGUCGGAUUGUUUGGGAAUGCAGUCCAAAAUGGGUGGUAAAUUUCAUCUAAAGCUAAAUAUUGGCGAGAGACCGAUAGCGAACAAGUACCGUGAGGGAAAGAUGAAAAGAACUUUGAAAAGAGAGUUAAACAGUACGUGAAAUUGUCAAAAGGGAAGCGUUUGACACCAGUGUUGUUUUUCUGAAAAUCAAUUAAAGAACUGUUUAUGCUAAGCUGUUUAGACUUUAUCAGCUAAUCUGUUUAGUUUUGAGCUUUUCUUUAAUGCACUUUUCAGUUAACAAGUCAACAUCAAUUUCUUUUGCUGUAAAAAAGCUUGAGGAAGGUGGCUUGAGAUUCGUCUUAAGUGUUUAUAGCCUCUUGCCUAUGCAGUCGGAGAGAUUGAGGUCUGCAGCGUAGAUCCUUCGGGGCUAAAUGCAUUUGUGCUAAGUUAUAGCAUUUUAUAGACAACUUGUUGACUAUGAUUUGUCUUGCAGCUUACUCGCUUAUGUUAUUUUACCUACGCUUAGGAUGUUGACGCGCGUGUGUGCGUG